UUCUUAGAUUCAUAUUUGCUCUCUUAUUAUGGGUUUGAUCUUGCUAAUCCUAUUCUAAAGACCAAAACCAACAAGUAAUUGAUGAUGACACUGGAAGGAAUGGCCCUAAAAUUGCUACCAUAUUCAUUCCCAAUUCUAAGAACCGCUGCCAACUGCACCCCUCACACCUUUCAACGAUUUCUCGUCUCGACUUCUAUUGUUGCAGCUCCACCCACAUCCCUUUCACUCGGUCACUCGACCCGACCUGAUUUCCCUAUCCUUCACCGGGUCUCUCUACUUUUAACCACCCAUUAUUUUCCUAUAAUUCCUCACUUAAGAGUACUCACAUUUAUUACAUGACAUGAAGUAAAUGGCUCUAAACUUGUUUACUUGGACAAUGCUGCAACUUCCUAGAAGCCUAUCGCUGUGUUAAAGGCUUUGCAAGAUUACUAUGAAAGUAUGAAGGUUACAAUUCAAACGUGCAUCGCGGGAUUCAUUACUUAAGUUCAAAGGCAACAAUGCAAUAUGAAUUGGCGAGAAAGAAGAUUUCAGAAUUUAUCAAUGCAUCAGAUGCUCGAGAAAUUGUUUUUACUAGGAAUGCUACUGAAGCUAUCAAUCUGGUUGCGCACUCGUGGGGACUCCAAAAUAUAAAAUCAAAUGAUGAGAUCUUACUCACAGUUGCCGAACAUCACAAUGCGAUUGUUCCCUGGCAACUUGUAGCUCAAAAGACCGGUGCCAUUUUGAAAUUCGUGGACCUAAAUGAAGAUAGAGUUCCAGAUGUGGAAAAGUUAAAAGAUAUGCUUUCAAGAAAGACAAAAUUUGUAGUUGUUCAUCAUGUCUCAAAUGUGCUAGGUCUGGAUCUAUUUCUCAAGUGAUUAUGGUUUCCUUUCUUUCUUCAAGCUUUGUAGAAGGGAACCCAAGAUAGGCGCGACAAUGACCUACCAACUCCCCUAAAACAUUUUGGUUAUAAUUUAUAAAACUUUCUUUCUUGUAUAUGAGUGCUCUAUUAACAUAUGA